UGGGGAAUUUUGGACAAUGGGCGAAAGCCUGAUCCAGCAAUGCCGCGUGUGUGAAGAAGGCCUUCGGGUUGUAAAGCACUUUUGUCCGGAAAGAAAUCCUUGGCUCUAAUACAGUCGGGGGAUGACGGUACCGGAAGAAUAAGCACCGGCUAACUACGUGCCAGCAGCCGCGGUAAUACGUAGGGUGCAAGCGUUAAUCGGAAUUACUGGGCGUAAAGCGUGCGCAGGCGGUUUUGUAAGACGGAUGUGAAAUCCCCGGGCUUAACCUGGGAACUGCAUUCGUGACUGCAAGGCUAGAGUAUGGCAGAGGGGGGUAGAAUUCCACGUGUAGCAGUGAAAUGCGUAGAGAUGUGGAGGAAUACCGAUGGCGAAGGCAGCCCCCUGGGCCAAUACUGACGCUCAUGCACGAAAGCGUGGGGAGCAAACAGGAUUAGAUACCCUGGUAGUCCACGCCCUAAACGAUGUCAACUAGUUGUUGGGGAUUCAUUUCCUUAGUAACGUAGCUAACGCGUGAAGUUGACCGCCUGGGGGAGUACGGUCGCAAGAUUAAAACUUAAAUGAAUUGACGGGGUCAUAGCUGUUUCCU
rnacentral:rRNA from 1 species